rnacentral:rRNA from 1 species
UAAAAACCCCGACUUCGGAAGGGGUGUAUUUAUUAGAUACAAAACCAAUGCCCUUCGGGGCUCUUUGGUGAUUCAUGAUAACUAUACGAAUCGCACGGCCUUGCGCCGGCGAUGGUUCAUUCAAAUUUCUUCCCUAUCAACUUUCGAUGUUUGGGUAUUGGCCAAACAUGGUUGCAACGGGUAACGGAGGGUUAGGGCUCGACCCCGGAGAAGGAGCCUGAGAAACGGCUACUACAUCCAAGGAAGGCAGCAGGCGCGCAAAUUACCCAAUCCCGACUCGGGGAGGUAGUGACAAUAAAUACUGAUACAGGGCCCUUUCGGGCCUUGUAAUUGGAAUGAGUACAAUUUAAAUCCCUUAACGAGGAACAAUUGGAGGGCAAGUCUGGUGCCAGCAGCUGCGGUAAUUCCAGCUCCAAUAGCGUAUAUUAAAGUUGUUGUGGUUAAAAAGCUCGUAGUUGAACCUUGGGCCUGGCUGGCCGGUCCGCCUCACCGCGUGCACUGGUCCGGCCGGGCCUUUCCCUCUGUGGAACCCCAUACCCUUCACUGGGCGUGGCGGGGAAACAGGACAUUUACUUU